rnacentral:rRNA from 1 species
CGAAAGUCGACGUAUAGGGUGUGACGCCUGCCCGGUGCUGGAAGAUUAAAUGAUGGGGUGCAAGCUCUUGACUGAAGUCCCAGUAAACGGCGGCCGUAACUAUAACGGUCCUAAGGUAGCGAAAUUCCUUGUCGGGUAAGUUCCGACCUGCACGAAUGGCGUAACGACUUCCCCACUGUCUCCAGCAUCGACUCAGCGAAAUUGAAGUCCCCGUGAAGAUGCGGGGUUCCCGCGGUCAGACGGAAAGACCCCGUGCACCUUUACUACAGCUUGACAGUGGUAUUGGCGAUUAUUUGUGUAGGAUAGGCGGGAGUCUAUGAAACCAGGGCGCCAGUUCUGGUGGAGACAUCCUUGAAAUACCGCCCUGAUGAUUGUUAAUAUCUAACCGCGGCCCAUGAACCUGGGUCCGGGACCCUGUCUGGUGGGUAGUUUGACUGGGGCGGUCUCCUCC